rfam:Schistosoma margrebowiei strain Zambia genome assembly, scaffold: SMRZ_contig0000162
AUCCAGUUGACGAGUUCCGAAUGGGACGAAACGCGCAUCCUGGAU